AUACGUAGGGUGCGAGCGUUAAUCGGAAUUACUGGGCGUAAAGCGUGCGCAGGCGGUUUUGUAAGUCAGAUGUGAAAUCCCCGGGCUUAACCUGGGAACUGCGUUUGAAACUGCAAGGCUAGAGUGUGGCAGAGGGGGGUGGAAUUCCGCGUGUAGCAGUGAAAUGCGUAGAGAUGUGGAGGAACACCGAUGGCGAAGGCAGCCCCCUGGGUCAGCACUGACGCUCAGGCACGAAAGCAUGGGGAGCAAACAGGAUUAGAUACCCCAGUAGUCC
rnacentral:rRNA from 1 species